CACAUGUUGCUGUCGUGUGUCAGCUCAGACUCCUGGGGCAGCAGCAGAGACUCCCGGGUUAGAGGCCUCUUUUCAGGGGAUGGCGCAUUACGGUGGGAGAGGAAAGGGGCUUGGAGUUACAGGGCAGAGGACAGACUGUCUGGAAGGCAGGAGUGUGUAAGAGGCUGUGAUAAGGGGGAGGGGGCAGAGGUAGUAGGUGAUCAGUACUGGCUGGCAUCAACUGGGCACUUGCCUGUACUGUGAAGCGGGGCAGCUGCUAUCUGCUAACAUCAAUCCAAAAGGGGAGACAAAUGCCUGCACUGCAGCGUAUGGAAUAAAAGCCCUAGGCACUUCACUGUGCCACCCAGGAGGGGACGUUUCAGCUUGGGAAGUGACACGGAGAAGCACAGAAAGGUUGUCUAGGCAAGCUUGAAACACUAGGAGAUAAAAAAACACACAAAAGAGGGGAAGUAUUAAGUGUCAUAGAAGCUGGUAACUCACUUGAGAAGCCAGAGACUUGCAAGAGGAAGAUUGAAGAGAUAAAGGACAUGGGUUUGAGGAAGCACAGAGAAUCACAGAAUAUUCUGAGGUGGACGGGAUCCACAAGGAUCAUUGGAAGUAUUCUGAUGAAGGAGUGGCCCUGACUUCACGUUCCUAAGUUGCAUUCUUUGAAGAAAUGACUUAGCUCUUUACCCAUGGCACUACUUCAGAAAGCUUGGUCAGCCCUCAAAGUUGAGGUUGCCUUCCAGGAGCCUGAUGAAACAUUACAAGGACAAGGCCAGUACUCAGACACUGCACUUGCAUCACUUUGUAAUAAAUAAUAUUUCUUAGUA